UGGGGAAUUUUGGACAAUGGGCGAAAGCCUGAUCCAGCAAUGCCGCGUGUGUGAAGAAGGCCUUCGGUUGUAAGCACUUUUGUCCGGAAAGAAAUCCUUGGCUCUAAUACAGUCGGGGGAUGACGGUACCGGAAGAAUAAGCACCGGCUAACUACGUGCCAGCAGCCGCGGUAAUACGUAGGGUGCAAGCGUUAAUCGGAAUUACUGGGCGUAAAGCGUGCGCAGGCGGUUUGCUAAGACCGAUGUGAAAUCCCCGGGCUCAACUGGGAACUGCAUUGUGACUGGCAGGCUAGAGUAUGGCAGAGGGGGGUAGAAUUCCACGUGUANCAGUGAAAUGCGUAGAGAUGUGGAGGAAUACCGAUGGCGAAGGCAGCCCCCUGGGCCAAGUACUGACGCUCAUGACGAAAAGCGUGGGGAGCAAAACAGGAUUAGAUAACCCCUGGUAGUCCACGCCCUAAAACGAUGUCAACUAGUUGUUGGGGAUUC
rnacentral:rRNA from 1 species